CACGCCUCUUUUUUCUAGAACGCUCCCCACGCGCCUAACUCAAAUUAUCUCUAGUGCUCUUCUCCUCUCGUCCAACUGCGCUGCGUCGUCGAUAUUGGCCCGCGGCCAAGCCGAUGUACGAUUUGCGUGGUCGGACGGGAAUGCUCUAGUGUUGUUGUGGAUGUAUUUGUGGUCCUUAGUUUCAAAUCGUAGAUUAGAUCUUCAGUUUUUUCCUCCUCCACUUUAGAUGGUUUCUACAUCGAAGGAAUUGGCAUUGUAGGAUGAUAGAUCGGAGCUGGGUUUGCUACGAAAAUGGUGUGAAGCCCCACGGUGAUCGGUGUUCGGCUUGGCGUUGGUAGUUCAACGGAGAGGCUCACGGGCAAGUUCAGAUGCCAAGGUUUUCACUUGAUUUUGUCUCCGAUCUAGAGGGUUGGUGGGUGAGCGGUGGGAAUCGUAGCUUUGCGCCACCGGUAGAAGACCGAUCCCAACAGUGUUUCGAAUGGUACGGCGGCAUCUCAGCGAAGGAUAGCUUUGAUGGAAUGGCGGUGCCGAUUUUGCCGUUCGGCAGACUAUUCGUCAUCGGAUUGGAUGCAGCAGUCGUUGGGAAAUGGGAGGGCAGAGCAGGGAUAUGUUACUUUGACUUCUUGGAGAUUGUCAAAUGACUACUAAUGGAGAACUUGCUUCUACAAACCCACUUCCAAACCCCUCUCCUCUAAGAAAUGCCAAAUUCUUUCAGGUUGAAAUGGUAGCAGAUGAUAUGAAUCUAGGAACAUGUACCCUUCUCCUCACUGGAUAUGUGCGAGCUCGUAGUCUUUCUGUAAAUCAACUGGGGAUUCCUAGUUGGGUAAAAUGGAAAUUCUGAAGGAUCCUUGUCCUUUAAAUGUAAGAAAAGAGUAGGAGUCAUGGAUGCAGUGGUAUGGGCUGUUCCAUGUUGUAGUUAGCAGUAGAUGCUUCUAUAUAAUUUUCUUAUUUUGCCAUUGAAUGGGUUUUGUAGAAUCGUUUGGCCCAGUGGUAAUGUAGAUAUUCUACAGUUUCAUUAUAUGUAAUUCUUAUCUGUUGCUAGAUAAUUUGAAAAAAGAGUUUAACUUUUUCUUCAUUGAACUUCAGGUAUUCUGAAUAUGUUGCUAUUUGCUUUGAAAGAGUUUGUCCAUAUCAAAGAAGGAUAGCAUCUGGGAAGGCACAGUUUUAUUUCCACAUGUAUUUUUAUGGAUGUAAUAGGAACUUUCAGUAGCUUAAUUUGUUGUGUAUUGUAGAAUAAAGUUUAGAUACUGAAUGUGAAUGAAGGGGUGCAAAUACUAAUACUAGUAAUUGCCUUUUUUUUAAUCCAGUUUA